AUCUUCACAAUGGACGAAAGUCUGAUGGAGCAACGCCGCGUGAGUGAAGAAGGUUUUCGGAUCGUAAAACUCUGUUGUUGGAGAAGAACGUAUUUGAUAGUAACUGAUCAGGUAGUGACGGUAUCCAACCAGAAAGCCACGGCUAACUACGUGCCAGCAGCCGCGGUAAUACGUAGGUGGCAAGCGUUGUCCGGAUUUAUUGGGCGUAAAGCGAGCGCAGGCGGUUUCUUAAGUCUGAUGUGAAAGCCUUCGGCUCAACCGAAGAAGUGCAUCGGAAACUGGGAAACUUGAGUGCAGAAGAGGACAGUGGAACUCCAUGUGUAGCGGUGAAAUGCGUAGAUAUAUGGAAGAACACCAGUGGCGAAGGCGGCUGUCUGGUCUGUAACUGACGCUGAGGCUCGAAAGCAUGGGUAGCAAACAGGAUUAGAUACCCUGGUAGUCCAUGCCGUAAACGAUGAGUGCUAGGUGUUGGAGGGUUUCCGCCCUUCAGUGCCGCAGCUAACGCAUUAAGCACUCCGCCUGGGGAGUACGACCGCAAGGUUGAAACUCAAAGGAAUUGACGGGG
rnacentral:rRNA from 1 species